AAAAAAAAAAAACAGCGUUGGGGCAACCAACUGACAGCUUCUUUUGUCACUUUUUGCUGAAUGGUGCGAAGUACGAGCCACGGGGAAAUGCCGCAUAAAAAGCCGGAAACUUUGUUGCUAAACAGCCAAACAAAUAGAUAUGAAUAUACCUGUUUUUAUAACAAGCACUUCUCUUUAUUUUAUUUUUUUUAUAUUAUUUCGUUGCUGCAUUGUUUUUCAUUAGGCAUUAAAAAUUGUUUUCCCUGCGCUGUCGACUUAACGCGGCUACUUUGUUAUGAAGCGAAUUUUUGCAGCUUUUCCUAUGAGCAUGCGGCGAAGCGAGAGGAAGAAUGUGGGAAAGAGACGUGUGAGAUUUUCUGAGAGCAUGUCAGGCUAAUGCAUGCCAUGCGCUUGUUAUACUUUUUCCUGAAUCCAGCUUUGUCUCCCUACUCCAGCUGUUGGCAGCUGUGAUGAUGCCAGAAGCUCUUAGCACUAAUUAGAUGCGGGAUAAGGCAUGUAAAUUUUGUUAAAAGUCCGUUCAGCUUGUUACGUGAAAGCUGCAAGCCCAAGAGACACACAUUUUAAGAUUUCUAUGAAAUUAUAAAUUAUGAACUUAUUGAGAGAUUACUGCAUAACAUAAAAUUCGUGCCUGUUAAAGCAAAUCUGGUAAUUGCUGGUAGCUUAAGAAAUACAAAGUACUUCUUUCUGAUCGUGAAUGGACGCGUUUCAAGUGCUGAGCAUUCAUAUUUUUUUAAGACAAACAUAUAUUUGUAUUAUCUUUUUAUCACAUUGCCUUAAAAUAUUAAAACUGUAAGCCUCGAGCUCAUGAAAAUCGCAUAGAAAGGCGGAGAGAGAGAGAAUAAUUGCUUGAAAUGAAAAGGCAUAAAGUUCUGGAUCGGGCCAUUUCUAUAUGAUUUGUUAUAUCAACAAAUUGAAUUGUUUAUCCAAAACAGAAGCAACAUAGAAAAAAGUCUUCAUACAUCGUAAUAUAUAAUUUAUCUAAACGAAAUGCUGCCUGAACGUCCCAAAUGGCCAACAAGCGACGAGUUAUUUUAAAAAUGUUACAAUGUCUUCAAAUUGGGUACAGUAGAACGCCCCUAAAUGCCAACACGUGCCUGACAUACGGCAAAUUAUAUCGAUUGCCACAAUAGCAGCAUCGGAGAAGCAGCCAAAGAACGAGAGGGAUAUAUAGGGAGCGCGUGAGUGAGAGAUAGUCCCUGGUAAAGGACACCUUGGAGCUUUAAAUAAAUAAAAUUUCUCGCUGCCAGCGAAAUCCCCUAAAA